rnacentral:rRNA from 1 species
AGCAGCCGCGGUAAUUCCAGCUCCAAUAGCGUAUAUUAAAGUUGUUGCAGUUAAAAAGCUCGUAGUUGAAUUUCGGGAUUGACGUGAUGGUCGUGCCUUAAGGGGUAUGAACUGUCGCUGUUGAUUUCUCACCUUCUGGAGAAACUUGAUGUCCUUAAUUGGGUGUCUUGCGGAUCCAGGACCUUUACCUUGAAAAAAUUAGAGUGUUUAAAGCAGGCAUUUUGCUCGAAUACAUUAGCAUGGAAUAAUAGAAUAGGACGGCAUGGUUCUAUUUUGUUGGUUUCUAAGAUCACCGUAAUGAUUAAUAGGGAUAGUUGGGGGCAUUAGUAUUCAAUUGUCAGAGGUGAAAUUCUUGGAUUUAUUGAAGACUAACUACUGCGAAAGCAUUUGCCAAGGAUGUUUUCAUUAAUCAAGAACGAAAGUUAGGGGAUCGAAGACGAUCAGAUACCGUCGUAGUCUUAACCAUAAACCUAUGCCGACUAGGAAUCAGACGAUGUUAAUUUUUAAUGUACUCG